rnacentral:rRNA from 1 species
CUCAAGGAAUUGGCGGAGGGGCUCACAAGCAGCGGAGCAUGUGGUUUAAUUCGAAGCAACGCGAAGAACCUUACCUAGACUUGACAUCUCCUGAAUUACUCUGUAAUGGAGGAAGCCACUUCGGUGGCAGGAAGACAGGCGGUGCAUGGUUGUCGUCAGCUCGUGUCGUGAGAUGUUGGGUUAAGUCCCGCAACGAGCGCAACCCUUAUUGUUAGUUGCUACCAUUUAGUUGAGCACUCUAGCGAGACUGCCCGGGUUAACCGGGAGGAAGGUGGGGAUGACGUCAAAUCAUUAUGCCCCUUAUGUCUAGGGCUACACACGUGCUACAAUGGUCGGUACAAUGAGAUGCAACCUCGCGAGAGUGAGCAAAACUAUAAAACCGAUCUCAGUUCGGAUUGUAGGCUGAAACUCGCCUACAUGAAGCUGGAGUUGCUAGUAAUCGCGAAUCAGAAUGUCGCGGUGAAUACGUUCCCGGCUUUUGCACACACCGCCCG